GAACGUUAGCGGCGCGCCUAAUACAUGCAAGUCGUGCGAGAAAGGGCUUCGGCCCCGGUAAAGCGGCGCACGGGUGAGUAACACGUAGGUGAUCUCCCCUCGAGUGGUGGAUAACCCUCCGAAAGGAGGACUAAUACAGCAUGAGACCACGGCUCUUCGGAGUCGUGGCCAAAGCAGGCCACUGUACACAAGCUUGUGCUCGAGGAUGAGCCUGCGGCCCAUCAGCUAGUUGGCAGGGUAACGGCCUACCAAGGCUAAGACGGGUAGCUGGUCUGAGAGGAUGAACAGCCACACUGGAACUGAGACACGGUCCAGACUCCUACGGGAGGCAGCAGUAGGGAAUCUUGCGCAAUGGGCGAAAGCCUGACGCAGCGACGCCGCGUGAGCGAUGAAGGCCUUCGGGUUGUAAAGCUCUGUGGGGAGGGACGAAUAAGGUUUGGCUAAUAUCCAAGCCGAUGACGGUACCUCCUUAGCAAGCACCGGCUAACUCUGUGCCAGCAGCCGCGGUAA
rnacentral:rRNA from 1 species